UCCCGCCGAAGCGUGGCCUCAGCCGCGUUGGUCCCCUCAGCCUCCUUCGUGUCCUUUCCCUGGGGCACGGCGGGGCGACGCGGGGCCGGGACCGGCAGCCUUUCUGGCUGGAGGGACCCUCCCCAUCUUCUAACGUCUGAGCAGCCUGUACCCUGCAUGCAAGGUCGUGGUAAGAAAAUCAAAGGGCUUGAUCAACGGCUCAUAUAUUGCCUUGUUGUGGACCCAGAGUGCAAGGACAGACGAAGCCAGACACUGACUUUACAUUUUUGAUAGGUCGCGGCUUGCUAAAAUAAUAAAAGAGUGUGAUGAAC